AUUGAACGCUGGCGGCAGGCCUAACACAUGCAAGUCGAGCGGAUGAAGGGAGCUUGCUCCUGGAUUCAGCGGCGGACGGGUGAGUAAUGCCUAGGAAUCUGCCUGGUAGUGGGGGAUAACGUCCGGAAACGGGCGCUAAUACCGCAUACGUCCUGAGGGAGAAAGUGGGGGAUCUUCGGACCUCACGCUAUCAGAUGAGCCUAGGUCGGAUUAGCUAGUUGGUGGGGUAAAGGCCUACCAAGGCGACGAUCCGUAACUGGUCUGAGAGGAUGAUCAGUCACACGGGAACUGAGACACGGUCCAGACUCCUACGGGAGGCAGCAGUGGGAAAUAUUGGACAAUGGGCGAAGGCCUGAUCCAGCCAUGCCGCGUGUGAAGAAGGUCUUCGGAUUGUAAAGCACUUUAAGUUGGGAGGAAGGGCAGUAAGUUAAUACCUUGCUGUUUUGACGUUACCAACAGAAUAAGCACCGGCUAACUUCGUG
rnacentral:rRNA from 1 species